rnacentral:rRNA from 1 species
AUUGAACGCUGGCGGCAUGCCUUACACAUGCAAGUCGAACGGUAGAGUAGCAAUACUUGAGAGUGGCGAACGGGUGAGUAAUAUAUCGGAACGUGCCCAGUCGUGGGGGAUAACGUAGCGAAGUUACGCUAAUACCGCAUACGAUCUAAGGAUGAAAGCGGGGGAUCGCAAGACCUCGCGCGAUUGGAGCGGCCGAUAUCAGAUUAGGUAGUUGGUGAGGUAAAGGGCUCACCAAGCCAACGAUCUGUAGCUGGUCUGAGAGGACGACCAGCCACACUGGAACUGAGACACGGUCCAGACUCCUACGGGAGGCAGCAGUGGGGAAUUUUGGACAAUGGACGCAAGUCUGAUCCAGCAAUGCCGCGUGCAGGAUGAAGGCCU